CUACGGGUCGCACCAGUGGGGAAUAUUGGACAAUGGGGGAAACCCUGAUCCAGCAAUGCCGCGUGUGUGAAGAAGGCCUGCGGGUUGUAAAGCACUUUCGGUUGGGAGGACUGCUUCUAGCACUAAUAUUGUUGGAAGUUGACGUUACCUUCAGAAGAAGCACCGGCUAACUCCGUGCCAGCAGCCGCGGUAAUACGGAGGGUGCAUGCGUUAAUCGGAAUUACUGGGCGUAAAGCGCGCGUAGGCGGCUAGAUCAGUCGGGUGUGAAAGCCCCGGGCUUAACCUGGGAACGGCAUCCGAUACUGUCUAGAUUAAGUAUAGGAGAGGAGAGUGGAAUUCCACAUGUAGCGGUGAAAUGCGUAGAUAUGUGGAGGAACACCAAUGGCGAAGGCAGCUCUCUGGCCUGAUACUGACGCUGAGGUGCGAAAGCGUGGGGAGCAAACAGGAUUAGAUACCCUUGUAGUC
rnacentral:rRNA from 1 species